AAAGCAGCCUCUGUCCUUAGAGUCUGAGAGCUGACGAGGUCUGCCCAGACUUCCUUGCUCCAGUCUUCUUAGGGUGCAGAGGAGUCUUCUUGCCAAGAGGCAUUAUGUCCCAUUCCUGGAAGUGUUCAAGGCCAGGUUGGAUGGGGCUUUGAGCAGUCUGACCUAGCAGAGGUGUCCAUGUCCAGAGAAAGAACAGCUGCAAAUCUAAAUCCCUGAGGAGGUGUAUGAUUGGAGUGAAGAAAAAAGAACCAUUUGUUUUCAUCGCACAGAAAAAAUACAUCAGAUGGGUGCAGGACUCUUUAAAAAGAAAAUCCAGAAGAAAUGAAGUUUUGCAUUUAACAAAGUUUAUGCAUCU